AACGAACGCUGGCGGCAUGCCUAACACAUGCAAGUCGAACGAGACCUGCGGGUCUAGUGGCGCACGGGUGCGUAACGCGUGGGAACCUGCCUUUAGGUUCGGAAUAACUCAGAGAAAUUUGAGCUAAUACCGGAUGAUGUCUUCGGACCAAAGAUUUAUCGCCUUUAGAUGGGCCCGCGUUGGAUUAGCUAGUUGGUGGGGUAAAGGCCUACCAAGGCGACGAUCCAUAGCUGGUCUGAGAGGAUGAUCAGCCACACUGGGACUGAGACACGGCCCAGACUCCUACGGGAGGCAGCAGUGGGGAAUAUUGGACAAUGGGCGAAAGCCUGAUCCAGCAAUGCCGCGUGAGUGAUGAAGGCCUUAGGGUUGUAAAGCUCUUUUACCCGAGAUGAUAAUGACAGUAUCGGGAGAAUAAGCUCCGGCUAACUCCGUG
rnacentral:rRNA from 1 species